rnacentral:tRNA from 1 species
GCGAAGCGGGCGACGAAUUUCUGCCCUCCGAAGGCAGGGGUUGCUGGUUCGAUCCCAGCCGGGCGCGCCA